rnacentral:misc_RNA from 1 species
AAGUCGUAACAAGGUUUCCGGGUCCCCCGGGGCGCCUGGGUGAUUCCAGCGAUCCUUCUGUGGGAUAUCUACCGAAGCCUGUGCAACCUAGAAAUAGGUGGUGCCGCGACUCUAAAGAAGGCCCUUAUGCAAGUCAGCUCGCUGGCUACACGACCGAAUUGACGGGGAUACCCUAAAGCCCACACGACCAACCCGGGAAAGAAAAUCGAUCGGGGGGCCUAUAUUAACCGUAUAGGGUAUGGUAAUAGUGUGUUGGGAUACGCUGAAUCUCUUUUUCGGCACGUGGGCAAUCCGCAGCGAAUCCCUAAGUACUUUGUAUAUGGGAGGCGUUCACAGACUAAGUGGUUGUGGGUAAGGCUUCAAUGCCCUAUUUCAGAUAUAGUCGGGCCCUGGGAGAAAUCUCGGGGGUUACCUGUUCCGUAGGUGAACCUGCGGAAGGAUCAUUAAUAAUUGGGCCACUGGUCGUGGGAAUUAGCGAAGGCUGAAAUGCUGGAGUGAAAUGAACCCCACAGAGACGCUGUAAUGUAACCGAUUAGGGUGGUUAUCCAGGAUUAGGGGCGACUAGGUUUGGGGGGAAAUUCCUCCGAAAACCCCGAAGCUGGUGAACCAACUUGACUUGAUUUAUUAUAGGCGAUCCAACAUUCUUGUUUAAUAUACCUUAGUUGCUUUGGCAGGCCACAGUUUACUGUGUAGGCCUUAGCUUACCGUGCUUGUCAGAGGCCUAAAAUCUGUAGCUAGUGAUGUCUGAGUAUUAUUUAAUAGUUAAAA